GGGGAUAUCGUCUAGUAGUUGUGAUCAGUAAGUGUUCAUUUCGACUUUUUCUGUUUGUGACGUCUGAGACAUGAAAUGGAGUGAUAUCAGUCUUUUUCCAACUUUCCAGCAAAAUCCCAGACUUUGCUCAUAUUUCUGAAAUCCCUGUUAUUCUGUGACUGUAUGUUUUGGCUGAUAGGCUGAAUUUGUAGCCAAUCUGGUGUCAUGCCGCUAGUAUAACUGUGCUCACAGGGAUGCAGCAUUUCUGCACAACACUGCACCUCCUCUGAUCUCUUUAUUUAAAAAUUGAAUUUAUCAACAAACACUAAAGAGAUUUGCUGCUUUGGCUAUGGUGGUUACUAGAUUUCCAAUAUUUUAGAUAUCACUUUAUAACAAGUAUCGUUAACUCAUCUUUUUGUUUAUUGACUUUAUUGCUCUAAGAAUUAAAGUUAACCUGUGUCCAAAUAGAACUAGCUGAACUUGUUCUCAUUGUUUACUGGUUUGCUAACCUAGGGUGUGGUGAUUGUGAAAGGAUAGUAAGUUAUUAAGCAAGUAUCUUGUGCAAGAAAAGUUCUAUUUCUGAGGUUCUGUUGCCAUAAUGACUCAUUUGCACUUUAAUAGUUCUGUUUGGAAAUAAUGAUCACAGUUUGUUCAGUUUAUUUAGUAUUCUUUUUUAAAUUUAUCUUCAUCAAUUAAGUCACCAGACUUCGAUCUUAAAGUAGGAUCAUUUUAACACUUUAUAAAAACCUUCAUAUGGGAUUAGUUGUAAACAUACUGCACCAGAUUGAAUGCGGAAAAAUUCUUGUAUCCUUUAAAAUUCCCAUUUGGCUUGUUUUUGAUAAAAAAAAAUUUCCUCAUUUGAAACUUUUCUUUUCAAAACAUUAAAAAUUUACAGUAAUGUGCAAAGUUGUGACCCAUUCUUCAUUUCUUUAUAUUUAGUGUUCAAGGAUGCUCUUGUGCUUCUAAAGUUUAAUGUUUGUUUCCAGUGUCUUUUCUCUAAUGUGGAUCUGUAGUUACAGUCAGAGCUGUAUCCUGAUGAGCAGUGUUGCAGUCUUCAAGUCCACUGCAGGGUCCAGCAGAAUUUCUGGAAGUGGAGAAACUGGAGCAAACAAUUUUCUAUGUGUGGCAGUGAUGUCCAACAUACUGUCAAUGCAAUAACAGCAUACCUCACAUGGAUUGGUCUUGCCAGAGGCCAGACCUCAACAUCGCUGAAGCAGUGUGGGACCAUGUUGAUGGAUAAUGGAACAAUGUCCUUCAAGAAGUCUGGAGACCUUUUCUGGAGAGCUCAGGCUGUGUUGAAGAAGAAAGGUGGUCCUACCAAAUCUGGACUUUCAAGUUUAUUAGAAUUGUUCAAACUCUUUAAAAUAAUCGCUGCACCUUUUUCCCAUUUUCCUACAAAAAUAUAAAGAAAUAAGGAGUGAGUCAAGACACAGUACGGUGUAUAGACAGAUAUAGUAGCGAGUGAAUACAAGAAAGUUUCUUCAAUUGAAGGCCAGUCAUGGUUUAAUUACAAUGCAGGCAACAUGUUCACACAUAUGCGCACAAACUAUUCAGCAAUCAUUCUAACAGUUUUUAGCAAGAAAUUUCACUUCACCACCAAAUAAAUAUGAAACAGCUUUCUGGUAUCAAGAUACAUGACUCUAUACAGUAGAGCUUAGAACAUGAAAGAAAAAUAUCAACGACCAAAUGUGGACUUUAAUAUUAACAUAAAGUGAUCACCUAAAAGGCCUGACAAUGCAGAGAAAAAUACUUUAUGACUCUGUAAUAAAAACUCCGCUGUCAUGUGUAUAGUGCAACAUAUUUGUGAAUGAGUGUUUCACUAUCAAUGUACUGAGGCCGCUACGAUAAGUAAAUUAGCUUUUCAGUUUCUUCCGGUGUGCUAGAAAGUUCUACAAGCCUGGCUUAUUGUUAUCGCUGUUGUUACCAUAGGACACACUCCUAUUCUCUGCACUUUCAAACUCAGCGCUGCUAGGGGGUUAAAAAAACCAAUGUGAAACCUGCCUUUAAGGUUUAUGGCUUCACCCACAACUACAGCUGCUCCAACGCUGUAAUAUUUAAGUGGUGAGAAUGAGGGAACACAGAGAACAAUCCAAGGUGGAGACUGUGUAGCAAAACCUACCUAACAAAAGAAAGCACAACAAGAACUGACACACUUCCAAAUAUUUCUGCAGAACAUUUUUACUACAAGGUGCCAAAAUGUCUUCUGUCUGGGCCAAAAAUAUCAUCCAAGAUCAACAUGUACACGGAGGAAAUUACAUGAUAUUAUCUUUCAGCACUUUUUCCAGAAAUGUUUAAAUCCACAAUAUGGAAAAGAAAGGGAAUCACCACAUCAUCAGUUGAAAUAUGGUACAUAACAAAUAUGUAAAACAAUAUAUCUAAAUAAAUAAAUGAAUAUAAAUAAAUGCUGUGGGGGCGAGUAUCAAACGCACCAGUUGUCUUAACUGCUGACACAUCAAGUCUUCUCAUGAACAUGUGAAUGAUAAAGGUUUUUUUUUAAGUCCAUGAAGCAUUUGUGUAAUAGUCUAAUAUUAACAGAUAACUUGUGUUCACAUUGUUCUUGUUUGACAGGAGCAAUGUCUUGUCUUUUCUCUCACUCAUGCUAACCAUGCCCUGGAGUCUUGCCGGGAUAAUCAAAGUGAUUGCUUCAUUAUUAUGUAACACUGGCUGUAGGCCAUUGUUGACUUGCUAUAGGAAAAUCUGGGGACAUUUAUUUGGAACAAACUCACAUCCCUGUGACAACACUGUGUGAUUUACCUCUCCAAAGGUAAAUAGUGAAGAAAUGCAACUAAUGACGUUUGUUUGGAGAGAGGAGAGCAAAGUCAACAAAAUACGUUUCAAAAGCACAUACAGCAAUGGUCAAAAGUCAGUUCUUUUUCCAGUGUGGAAUGAUUGUACAGCAUACAUCCUUAAUGACUUAAAAAAAAGAAGAAUUGGAUGCACAACUUUGAAUUUAUUUUGGAUUUUCUCUGAUCUAUACAUGAUCAAAAGUAAUUAUAUAGGCUCAAAUAUACAGAUACACCUCCACGUACAUUUUGGUUAAAUGUCCCUUAGAAAGUUUCACCUCAACCAGAUGCUUUUGACAGCCAUUAACAAGCUUCUGGCAUGAUUCUAAUUUCAUAUUUGACCGCACGUCUUGGCACAGUUAUUAGAAUUCCUUUGAAUUGGUUGGUUUCCUGGCACAGACCCGGUUUUUAAGCAUAGACCACACAUUUUUAAUGACGUUGAAGUCUGGGCUUUGGGAAGGCCAUUCCAGAAGUUUAAUGUUAGCCUUCUUCAUCCAUUCUAAAGCCAGUUUUUAUGUCUGUUUGGGUCCUGCUGGGACACCCAGUUGCCUCCAUGUUUCAACUGUCUAGCUGUUGGUUUGAGAUUAAGAAUCUGGAGGUAGUCCUCCUUCCUCGUUGUUCCAUCCACCUUCAGCAAUGUAUCAGUAUCACUGACAGCAAAACAGCACCAUAGCAUUAUGCUACCACCACCAUGCUUGACAGUUGGUACAGAUACACCACCUCUUGUCACUGUGCCCUCCAUGGUAGAGAGGUUUGUGUGUCUCAGGCAUCCCAGGAGCCAUGUUGUCUGGGGGCUUUUGCACCCUUGUAGGGUAUCCCAUGGCAACUUGGUCCUGGGUGAGGGACCAGACAAAGAGCGAUUCAGAAGACCCUUAUGAGAAUAUCACCGGGGGAACAGCUUAUCCUGCCCGGGAUAGGGUUACUGGGGCCACGCCCUGGAGUCAGGCCCGGGGAGGGUGCCCGUGGGCAAGCGUCUGGUGGCCGGGCCACCAGACGUCCAUGGAAGCCAGCCAGGCACAGCCCGAAAAGGGGCCCACCACCCGCAGGAGGCGCCGUAGGGGUCGGGUGCACUGUGUGCCAGGCGGCGGCCCUGGCGGACUGAUCCCCGGCUACCAAGACCAGCCCGGAGAUUUAUUUGGCUUGAAAACCUCAACUUUACUCAUCCAAACCUCUUCUCACUGUGGCCAAAUAGCCCAAUCUCUCUCAUUUGUCAAUUUUCUCCACAAGGUAUUCCGCUUGUCCAUGUGGUCAGCUGCAAAUUUCAGUUGAGCUUGAAGGUGGUCAAUCCAGAAACUACCAGUUGUAGCCAGUCAUGAUUAUUAAUGAGGUCAAUUCAAAUUGGAGUUAAUAUGUGUUGCACAACUUUCAGCACCAGUUAUUAAAGGAUUUAAGUAAGUGUAUGUCUGCAUAGUGCAUGUAUACUUUUGACCCUUUGUAGAUUAGAGAAAAUCCUGAAUACAAACUUUAGCACCUAGUUCUUUUUUUUUUAAGUCAUUAAAGAUGUGUGCUGUACUCUGGAAAAAGAACAGCUCGAUGAAAUAAUUAAAAGCCCCAAAUUACCAACUUCUGGCCACAAUUGUCACUUUUAUAUGAGUAUGAAAACAUUUCAUUUGUUCCUGUUUGAGUAAACUGACUUAUUUUCCUAUCUUGUGGAAACUACACUGUUCAUUGUCCUCUUUUUGUAUACAAAUAACAUUAACACAAUAUACAAAAAUGAAUGAAAUGACAGAGACUAAGAAGCCAUAUGUUUGUGCAAAGGACACCCUAAAUGCAACAUAAAGGAACAGAUUAAAGUGCAUUUACCUCGUGCACUGUUACCUACUUUGUUAUCUGGUCAUUGACUGCAAUAGUCUGCAGUAGUCUAACUGUGCAUGUGAAACUGACACAGAGAACAUGAUGAAGCCUGCUGUUUCGGUGCACGUACGCUUUACUUUUCAAAAGCACGUUAUCUUUCUGAUUCACAAGUGGUACAGUUAAUACACUUGUUGGCUUGCCAGUGAAAUGUGGCAGACCUUGAUCUCUGGUUCUUUAAUACUGUUAUCAGUGCACUUUUACCAAAAUGUUUUUGCUAGUCAAGUUAAUGGCCAAUCAAUAUUUCCCUCAAACCAAAGUACACAUACAAACGUGUACAUCAAUGCAGCUGUUUGCUUUCUUUCCAUCCUGGUACCACACUAUUGUCACCUGUGAAUAAAAUGCUGGAGUACUUUUAUAUGACUAUGAACAGAUAAUCAGUGAGUUAACACCAGUGCUGCAUCUCUCUGUAUAUAGAAACAUUCACCAGCCACCAAAUUAUCUAUACAACUGCUUGUUAAUGCAAAUAUCUACUUAGCCAAUGGCAUGCCAGCAACUCAAGUCAUGUAGACAUGGGGAAGAAAGGUGGUUUAAGUGACUUUGAAUGUGGGAUGGCUGUUGGUGCUAGACAGGAUGGCCUAUUUCAGAAUCUGCCGAUCUACUGGGAUCUACUCUUCUCCCACACAACAAUCUCAAGCAUUUAGAGAGAAUGUUCGGAAAAAAAGAAAAUAUCUGUGAGCUGCAGUUUUCUGAGUGCAAAUGCCUUGUUGAUGCCAGAAGAAUGCUUUGAGCUUAUCGAAAUGCAACAGUAACUCAAACUGGUCGAACCUUGAAGCACAUGGGCUACAGCAGCAGAAGAGUACAUCGGGUUCUGCUCCUAUCAGCUAAGAACUGAAAACCGAGCCUCAGUUCACAUAGGCUCACCAAAAUUGAACAUUAAAAAAUUGUCCUUGAUCUGGGGCUGGAGGCUAUCCCAGGUGCCAUAGGGCAAGAGGCAGGGUACACCCUGGACAGGUUGCCAGUCUGUCACACGGCUAACACAUAGAGACAGACAAACAUUCACACUCAUGGACAAUUAAAAGUUUCCAAUUAACCUAACCCCACUAACUGCAUGUCUUUGGAAUGUGGGAGGAAGCCAGAGUACCUGGAUAGAGCCCACACAAAAACACAGGGAGAACAUCCAAACAGAAAGAUCCCGGUCUGAUGGCGGUAUUGAACUCAUGACCUUCUUGCUAUGAGAUAACAGUGCUAACCACCAUGCCGCCUGUGGUAAGGGUUUAAUGUUUAAUUAAAGUACUGUUGCUGACUACGGCCAUCACUUCAUGACCGCCCAUCGUACCUAUUGUCUGAUGUAGGAUAUGUCGCAAAGUCAGAUUAUCUCAAAUUUCUGUCUUGAACAUGAUGGUGAGUUCAUUGUACUCAAAUGACCUCCGUAUACAACCAAUAUUAAUCCAACAGUGCACCUUUAGGAUGUAGUGGAAUGGGAGGUUUGCUAUGUGCAGCUGAUUAUUUUGCAGAAAUUGUGUGAUGCGAUCGUUUCAAUAUGAAAUACAAUCUCCAAGGAAUGUUUCCAGCACCUUUACGACUUUAUACCACGAAGAAUAGGGACUCCGACAUGGUAUUGACAAAAUGCGUUAAAUAAAGUGCCUGUUGGUGUAUAAUACAUCAGCAGGAGAUAUUAAAGGUUAGAAAUUACUAAACUAAACUAUUCACUAUGUUGCUUUGGUGUUGUAACACUGGAACUUUUGAUAAUGUCUCUCAAUUACACUAUGUGGAAUUUUAGGCAGAAUUUAGUAUAGUAACUUGAUUUUGAGUAUAGUAACUUGAGUUUUUCUUAAUUUUUCUUCAUUUUUGCAUAAGGACAAGUAUGUAACAUGAAUUAGGGAACACACCACAGCAUCUAUAGCCUAGUCUAGUCUGCAAUGCCCGCCCCUUUAAAACAGAAGAAAAUCAAUACGCAGCCUAAAACACAAAAAUCAAACACAACAAAUGAUAGGACGGACUAAAAUACCCUAACAAGACAGCAAGUUAUUCAUGGUUACACGACUGGUUAAUAUUUAAAAACUGUUUCUGUUUGAUUUUCAAAAGAUCCCAGAUAGACCCACCUUUAAUUUCUUACAGCAACAAAUACCCCAAAUAUACUUUGGCCAAAUGUAGAUUUCCAUAGAGGCAGCUUGUAAUUACCAACCAACGCUCCAAAUGUUACUGAGCCCACAACUUUCAUUACUAAUACUGUUCCUGGUUAGAAAGCUAAGAUUUAAGUGAUUUUAAAGGUUUAUCCAAAGAAAUUUAAGCUUAAAUAUUAUAUGAAUAACAAUAGGCAUUGGAGAAAAUACAGAAAAUGAAAAAUAAAGACAAAACAGAUUGAAACCUUCUGAAAGAGUAAUGGUGUUUAAUGGACUACAGUUAUGGCCAGAUUUAUCAAUUACUGCAUCAGAAAACUCUAGCAUGUUGACAGCACUAUAAGAAGUGGUUUGCUGUGAAGCUAAACACUAAACAAAUACAGUUACAAUCACAAUAUGCUAAAAUCCUCAGAGAAAGUAACCUAAAUAUAUUUUCUGCCAAUAAAAGUCGCUUCACUUCCCCUGGUCAAACCUUUAAUAUGAACACAUUUAAGAGCUGAUUUAAACACUCUUUCAGUGUACGUAAGAUCCUGCAAAUAAAUUACAAGCAUGACACUUUAAAAACAACACGGCUCUAAACCUUUACAACUAAUUCUCCAAAUGCAAAAAGAGAAAAAAAAA